rnacentral:lncRNA from 1 species
CCGGGAGUCGCGCUAGGACCUGGAGGGCUAGUCGGCGGGCUGCGCGUCCGGCCGCUAGCUGAGCUGGAGGCCACCGGCCAGAGCCGACCCCAGGAGUGAGAGAGACAGGGGCGUGCGUGAGUUCCGGCGGCCUGCACCGGGCAAACCCCGUACCUUCCCAGCAUCGGCUCAGCAACCCACGUGCAUCCAGGCCGGUCAAUGUCAUUGAGUCACCUCCGCGCCUUGGCCACCCUGGAGUCCCGAGAAUCCGAAGUUCCAGACAAAUGCCCAAACUACAUUCCUGCAUGUUCGAAAGCGUAAAUUGCAAAGCACAAAUCCAGGGCCACCUGGAUCUGCCUAUA